rnacentral:rRNA from 1 species
UAGGGAAUCUUCGGCAAUGGACGAAAGUCUGACCGAGCAACGCCGCGUGAGUGAAGAAGGUUUUCGGAUCGUAAAACUCUGUUGUUAGAGAAGAACAAGGACGUUAGUAACUGAACGUCCCCUGACGGUAUCUAACCAGAAAGCCACGGCUAACUACGUGCCAGCAGCCGCGGUAAUACGUAGGUGGCAAGCGUUGUCCGGAUUUAUUGGGCGUAAAGCGAGCGCAGGCGGUUUCUUAAGUCUGAUGUGAAAGCCCCCGGCUCAACCGGGGAGGGUCAUUGGAAACUGGGAGACUUGAGUGCAGAAGAGGAGAGUGGAAUUCCAUGUGUAGCGGUGAAAUGCGUAGAUAUAUGGAGGAACACCAGUUGCGAAGGCGGCUCUCUUGUCUGUAACUGACGCUGAGGCUCGAAAGCGUGGGGAGCAAACAGG